UAACCGUAGGUGAACCUGCGGUUGGAUCAUUACUGAUUGUUGGGUUCUUAUGGUCGAUCAUUAACUGAUCCCGACUGAACUCAAUCAACCCCUUGUGCACCGAAUCGUAUUUUGGGUAUUUAAUUUUGGCGACUUUUUACAGAGUUGACUAGAUUAGUGCCCAGCUUAUUUAAACUAUAUAAUUUUUUUUGUCUUAAAUCUAGCAAAAUAGAAACAACUUUUAACAACGGAUCUCUUGGCUCUC
rnacentral:misc_RNA from 1 species